AGAGGUCCCGCCUGCCCAGUGACCAUGUGUUCAACGGCCGCGGUAUUUUAACCGUGCGAAGGUAGCGAAAUCACUUGUCUUUUAAAUGGGGACCAGUAUGAAUGGCUAGACGAGGGCUUGACUGUCUCCUUUUUCAAGUCAAUGAAAUUGAUCUCCCCGUGCAGAAGCGGGGAUAAACACAUAAGACGAGAAGACCCUAUGGAGCUUUAGACACCAAGUCAGACCAUGUUCCUCACCCCUAAACAAAGGGUAAAACUAGUGGAGUCUGUACUACGUCUUCGGUUGGGGCGACCAUGGGGAAUACAAAACCCCCAAGUGGAAUGGGAGCACCACUCCUCCUAUAACUAAGAGCCCCCGCUCUCAGUAACAGAAUUUUUGACCUUUAAGAUCCGGCAAAGCCGAUUAACGAACCAAGUUACCCUAGGGAUAACAGCGCAAUCCCCUUCAAGAGCCCUUAUCGACAAGGGGGUUUACGACCUCGAUGUUGGAUCAGGGCAUCCUAAUGGUGUAACCGCUAUUAAGGG
rnacentral:rRNA from 1 species